GACGAACGCUGGCGGCGUGCCUAAUACAUGCAAGUCGAGCGAAGUUUUUCUGGUGCUUGCCCUAGAAAAACUUAGCGGCGAACGGGUGAGUAACACGUAAAGAACCUGCCUCAUAGACUGGGACAACUAUUGGAAACGAUAGCUAAUACCGGAUAACAGUAUUUCUCGCAUGAGAGAUAUUUAAAAGUUGGUUAUGCUAACACUAUGAGAUGGCUUUGCGGUGCAUUAGCUAGUUGGUGGGGUAAAGGCCCACCAAGGCGACGAUGCAUAGCCGACCUGAGAGGGUGAUCGGCCACACUGGGACUGAGACACGGCCCAGACUCCUACGGGAGGCAGCAGUAGGGAAUCUUCCGCAAUGGGCGAAAGCCUGACGGAGCAACGCCGCGUGAGUGAAGAAGGAUUUCGGUUCGUAAAGCUCUGUUGUUAGGGAAGAAUGGAUAUGUAGUAACUAUACAUGUAAGAGACGGUACCUAACCAGAAAGUCACGGCUAACUACGUG
rnacentral:rRNA from 1 species